GAGCGCAGGUGGUUUAUUAAGUCUGGUGUAAAAGGCAGUGGCUCAACCAUUGUAUGCAUUGGAAACUGGUAGACUUGAGUGCAGGAGAGGAGAGUGGAAUUCCAUGUGUAGCGGUGAAAUGCGUAGAUAUAUGGAGGAACACCGGUGGCGAAAGCGGCUCUCUGGCCUGUAACUGACACUGAGGCUCGAAAGCGUGGGGAGCAAACA
rnacentral:rRNA from 1 species